CCGGUGGCUCAGCCUGGUAGAUGCGUUGCGCGCAAGGCAAGGGUCACGAGUUCAAAUCUCGUCCGGGGCUCCA
rnacentral:tRNA from 1 species